CCCUUUGGGGUCAGUGGCGGACGGGUGAGUAACGCGUAGGUAUCUAUCCUUGGGUGGGGGGACAACCGUGGGAAACUACGGCUAAUACCGCAUGAUAACUGAGGUUUAAAGGCGCAAGUCGCCUGGGGCGGAGCCUGCGUACGAUUAGCUAGUUGGUGGGGUAAAGGCCUACCAAGGCUGUGAUCGUUAGCUGGUCUGAGAGGAUGAUCAGCCACAUUGGGACUGAGACACGGCCCAA
rnacentral:rRNA from 1 species